UACAGAGGUCUCAAGCGUUGUUCGGAUUCAUUGGGCGUAAAGGGUGCGUAGGCGGCGCGGUAAGUCGGGUGUGAAAUCUUGGAGCUUAACUCCGAAACUGCAUUCGAUACUGCCGUGCUUGAGGACUGGAAAGGAGACUGGAAUUUACGGUGUAGCGGUGAAAUGCGUAGAUAUCGUAAGGAAGACCAGUGGCGAAGGCGGGUCUCUGGACAGUUCCUGACACUGAGGCACGAAGGCCAGGGGAGCAAACGGG
rnacentral:rRNA from 1 species